rnacentral:misc_RNA from 1 species
GAUGAAGAACGUAGCGAAAUGCGAUAAGUAGUGUGAAUUGCAGAAUUCAGUGAAUCAUCGAAUCUUUGAACGCACAUUGCGCCCCUUGGUAUUCCAUGGGGCAUGCCUGUUCGAGCGUCAUUUGUACCCUCAAGCUUUGCUUGGUGUUGGGUGUUUGUCCUCUCCUUUGCGUUUGGACUCGCCUUAAAGCAAUUGGCAGCCAGUGUUUUGGUAUUGAAGCGCAGCACAAUUUGCGAUUCUAACCGACUACACUUGCGUCCAUAAGCCUUUUUUAACUUUUGACCUCGGAUCAGGUAGGGAUACCCGCUGAACUUUAGCAUAUCAUAAGCGGAGGA